rnacentral:lncRNA from 1 species
CUGGCGUCCCGUCCUGGGUGUGUCCCCUCCCCCUCCGGCCUUACGCCCUGUGUUACCGGGUAGGCUCCGGUUCCCCGCGACCCCGUAUGGGACAAGCGGUUCAGAAAAUGUGUGUGUGUGUGUGUAUUAUUAUUAUUAUUAUUAUUGUUGUUACUAUUAUUAUUAUUAUUAUUAUUGUUAUUAUUAUUAUUAUUAUUAUUAUUUCACGACGUUAGAGGUCGCUGUUGGUUUUUAUUAAUUCGCCCUCUUUACGGUCAGCCCUCAGAAUGUGUCGGAAUCGACUACAACAGCAAACCAUACCCGUGCGGGGACAGGUGUCAAUGCAACGACAGUCCCGACCAACACUUACAGUGGCGGCGGGGCCAACCAAACCACACCCAGCGGUGGGGGCAAUGCCCUGCGCUCCUUCAACCCCACCUGCCUGCUCCCCGUUGUCGUGGCAGCCUCCUUCCUGCGCUGUUGAAGCACCCCUUCCCCCAAGCCGACACUGAACAGAGGCAAGACUGCAACAUCCCACGGCCUAGAAAGGAAAGGUCUCACCCCAAGGAUGUACAUUUUCCUUUUUUAACAGAGCGGAAGGGGUGCUACAGCAAUGGAGAGUGUCAUCCAACCAGAGAAGACAAGAGUGUAGCGUAGAUUUGCAUUGUUACAUUGCAGCGUCAGCUGCUGUCCAGCUUGUCUUGCAGUCCACAGUUUGGACAGUAUGAGGUUGUACAAAUGCUUGUUUAAUGUCCCAAGCAAGUCCACUAAUGUUCCUUUUUGGUCUGAUAUGAUUUCUAAAUACUGGGUAAAUUAGUUGGAAGGGCCACACUGUUAACAUUGAACAUGUUUAAUGGAUUAGACCUGAACCAGACUUGAGUAAGUGGGGCAUGACUGUCUUCAUUGACAUGACUUUGACUUUUGUCAAGAAUUUUUAGCGUAGUAUAAAUGAUGUUGUAAGCAGUGAGUGUUGCACUUUUGUUUGGCCACUUGUGGCCUUUUAAAAGAACUUUGUAAUUUUCUUUCUGCACUAGAAAUAAUCCCACAGGUCAGGCAGUAUACUCAAAGUAAAUGUUAUCUUGCCCAUGGCUAUGUUCUGUAAUAACAGUGUUUUAAUGUUAGUUAACAGAAGUGCAGGAAGAAACUUCAUUAAAAUUUAAAUUAUGACCUUCAGUGCUGGCUCUGAUUUAUGGACAACA